rnacentral:rRNA from 1 species
CCCUUAGAUGUUCUGGGCCGCACGCGCGCUACACUGACUGGAUCAACGAGUUGUCCACCUUGGCUGAAGAGUCCGGGUAAUCUUGUAAAAUCCAGUCGUGAUGGGGAUAGAUUAUUGCAAUUAUUAAUCUUCAACGAGGAAUUCCUAGUAAGGGUGGUUCAACAGACCGCCCUGAUUACGUCCCUGCCCCUUGUACACACCGCCCGUCGCUACUACCGAUUGGAUGGUCCGGUGAGAACUCUGGAUUGCGGUCGCUGUGGCGGUUCGCCGUCGCAUCGCUGCGAGAAGUUGAUCGAACCUUAUCAUCUAGAGGAAGUAAAAGUCGUAACA